GCAAGUCGAGCGGUAAGGCCUUUCGGGGUACACGAGCGGCGAACGGGUGAGUAACACGUGGGUGAUCUGCCCUGCACUUCGGGAUAAGCCUGGGAAACUGGGUCUAAUACCGGAUAUGACCUCCUAUCGCAUGGUGGGUGGUGGAAAGAUUUAUCGGUGCAGGAUGGGCCCGCGGCCUAUCAGCUUGUUGGUGGGGUAAUGGCCUACCAAGGCGACGACGGGUAGCCGACCUGAGAGGGUGACCGGCCACACUGGGACUGAGACACGGCCCAGACUCCUACGGGAGGCAGCAGUGGGGAAUAUUGCACAAUGGGCGAAAGCCUGAUGCAGCGACGCCGCGUGAGGGAUGACGGCCUUCGGGUUGUAAACCUCUUUCAGCAGGGACGAAGCGCAAGUGACGGUACCUGCAGAAGAAGCACCGGCUAACUACGUGCCAGCAGCCGCGGUAAUACGUAGGGUGCAAGCGUUGUCCGGAAUUACUGGGCGUAAAGAGUUCGUAGGCGGUUUGUCGCGUCGUUUGUGAAAACCAGCAGCUCAACUGCUGGCUUGCAGGCGAUACGGGCAGACUUGAGUACUGCAGGGGAGACUGGAAUUCCUGGUGUAGCGGUGAAAUGCGCAGAUAUCAGGAGGAACACCGGUGGCGAAGGCGGGGUCUCUGGGCAGUAACUGACGCUGAGGAACGAAAGCGUGGGUAGCGAACAGGAUUAG
rnacentral:rRNA from 1 species